UCAUUUGAGGGUUUGCUUCUUUUUUAGCAGUUUCCUUUAUACUAACAUAUAUAUUCAUCCGUUGAUGGUCAAAAUAUUACAUAUCCACUGAGAGAAUGAAAAAUGAUUUUCGAGAUGAUACUCCAGAGGAUUCGUAUGAUCAGUUGAUUGCUGAUUAUCUAGCAGAUCCACCAUCAGAUGAUGAAGAAGAAGAAGAGAUACCAGAUGAUGAAGAUCCAUGAUUGGGACUGGGGUAUACCGUGAUCUAUUCUUAAACAGGAGGAAGCUAGACUAAAAAUUAUAUAUAGUGGAGAAAGAUGGUUGUCCUUCAGAAGUGCUGGGAUCCAUUGUUUAAGUUUCAAACUAAAUUAUAUAUUGUCUUAUGUAGGACAUAUAUAUGGUCUGUAAAACAAUUAUAUUAUGUCGAUCUUGCUUUGUGUGUUACUUUGUUUGUUUGGUUUUAUAUGAUGUAGCUUUCCUAUGUAGGACAUAUAUAUGGUCUGUAAAACAUAUAUAUUAUGUCA